CAUUUCUUCUCAUUCUUGCCACAGGUGAAUUUAAUAACUCCAGUGGCCAUUGCUAGUUUGUCUGCCUCCUCAUCUAGACUGGGACUCCACCAGGUGAUGCUUGUUCACGGUCCAAUGUUCAGAUGGGAUAGCAGGUGCCAGAAGAUGAAGACCUGCAGAAAGAAUUAACAGUUUGGUGAUCACACAGAAGAAACCCACAAGGAUCCCCAGAGACCCCUUGGGACAUCAAGAGGACUUGGGGCGAUGGUACCAGUGGGCCCACUGAGCCCACCCUGCCCACCCCCACCCAGGCAAGGGGUCUGAAAACCUUGAAGGCAGUGAUGGAGUCAGAGGCUGCCCCAGGUUGUUCCUAAGUGACAUGCUGAUUAUUUUGAACAGAAAGAAAUUAAAAGACAGAAGAUUCAAGACUUUCCCCCCUAAUUAUCUGUGUUCCUAAAAUUAGGAAAUCUCUGUCCUGGCCCAGGAGGUGGGAGAUAGCUUUUAAGCUGUAUCACCCAGGCCAUGGCUUGCAAAGUCUGUUUUGGAUGCAUAUGUAAUAUGCACCCUGACAAUUCCUUUUUCUUUAAAUUGAAAAGUUCUUUCUUUUCUCCUAAAAGUACUGUACCCCUUCUAGAGACUAUAUAACUUC